AGCAGCCGCGGUAAUUCCAGCUCCAAUAGCGUAUAUUAAAGUUGUUGCAGUUAAAAAGCUCGUAGUUGAAUUUCGGGGUCAGUAGGUUGGUCAUGCCACUGGUAUGUACUGGCCUCACUGAUUCCUCCUUCCUGAUGAGCCGUAAUGCCAUUAAUUUGGUGUUGCGAGGAAUCUGGACUGUUACUUUGAAAAAAUUAGAGUGUUUAAAGCAGGCUAACGCUUGAAUACAUUAGCAUGGAAUAAUGAAAUAGGACGUUCGAUCUUAUUUUGUUGGUUUCUAAGAUUGACGUAAUGAUUAAUAGGGAUAGUUGGGGGCAUUAGUAUUCAAUUGUCAGAGGUGAAAUUCUUGGAUUUAUUGAAGACUAACUACUGCGAAAGCAUUUGCCAAGGAUGUUUUCAUUAAUCAAGAACGAAAGUUAGGGGAUCGAAGACGAUCAGAUACCGUCGUAGUCUUAACCAUAAACUAUGCCGACUAGGGAUCGGAUGAUGUUAAUUUUUUAAUGACUCA
rnacentral:rRNA from 2 species